rnacentral:rRNA from 1 species
AACGUAGGAGGCGAGCGUUAUCCGGAUUUACUGGGCGUAAAGCGUGUGCAGGCGGUUUGGUUAGUUGGAUGUGAAAGCUCCUGGCUUAACUGGGAGAGGUCGUUCAAUACUGCCAGACUUGAGGAUGGGAGAGGAAGGUGGAAUUCCGAGUGUAGUGGUGAAAUGCGUAGAUAUUCGGAGGAACACCAGUGGCGAAAGCGGCCUUCUGGCCCAUCUCUGACGCUCAUACACGAAAGCUAGGGUAGCAAACGGGAUUAGAUACCCUCGUAGUCC